ACAAAUGCGAUGACGAGACAAGUAGGUAAAUGGAUUCUUUAUCAGAGAGCUCCGGCCGGUGAAAGGGAGCAAAGAAGACUUUAUCCGAAAAAAGACUCCGAGCAGCGCGUCGGAACCUGAACCCGGAAUGGGCAGGGGGUGAUGCGACAGGAGCUCCUGUUACAGAGCUAGAGUAUAAACGAGGGGAUACCCGCGUCGUACUUGAAGAGGCGCAUGCGGCGACGUAUACGCGAAUUUAGGGUGGUACCGCGAGAGUUCAAUCUCGCCCCUGAG
rnacentral:ncRNA from 1 species